AUCGCUUCUCGGCCUUUUGGCUAAGAUCAAAGUGUAGUAUCUGUUCUUAUCGGCUUAAUCUCCGGUACGUUACCUAUUGGUAACAUCGAGAUUAACUGAUUUUUGAAACCAGGUAGGUUUGCAGGGGCUUGCUCCUCGCCUACCACGGGUCGGCCUGGUAUUGCACUGCCUCCAGGAUCGGCCCUUCCCCU
rnacentral:snRNA from 1 species